CCUACGGGAGGCAGCAGUGGGGAAUUUUCCGCAAUGGGCGAAAGCCUGACGGAGCAAUACCGCGUGAGGGACGAAGGUCUGUGGAUUGUAAACCUCUUUUGUUAGGGAAGAUAAUGACGGUACCUAACGAAUAAGCAUCGGCUAACUCCGUGCCAGCAGCCGCGGUAAGACGGAGGAUGCAAGCGUUAUCCGGAAUUAUUGGGCGUAAAGCGUACGUAGGCUGUUAGAUAAGUCUGUUGUCAAAGAGCGAGGCUCAACCUUGUAAAGGCAAUGGAAACUG
rnacentral:rRNA from 1 species